AGUGAACGCUGGCGGUAGGCCUAACACAUGCAAGUCGAACGGCAGCACAGUAAGAGCUUGCUCUUACGGGUGGCGAGUGGCGGACGGGUGAGGAAUACAUCGGAAUCUACUUUUUCGUGGGGGAUAACGUAGGGAAACUUACGCUAAUACCGCAUACGACCUACGGGUGAAAGCAGGGGAUCUUCGGACCUUGCGCGAUUGAAUGAGCCGAUGUCGGAUUAGCUAGUUGGCGGGGUAAAGGCCCACCAAGGCGACGAUCCGUAGCAGGUCUGAGAGGAUGAUCAGCCACACUGGAACUGAGACACGGUCCAGACUCCUACGGGAGGCAGCAGUGGGGAAUAUUGGACAAUGGGCGCAAGCCUGAUCCAGCCAUACCGCGUGGGUGAAGAAGGCCUUAGGGUUGUAAAGCCCUUUUGUUGGGGAAGAAAAGCAGCAGGUUAAUACCCCGCUGUUCUGACGGUACCAAAAGAAUAAGCACCGGCUAACUUCGUG
rnacentral:rRNA from 1 species